CACGUAGGCACCAAGCGUUGUCCGGAUUUAUUGGGCGUAAAGAGCUCGUAGGCGGUUCGGUAAGUCGGGUGUGAAAACUCUGGGCUCAACCCAGAGCCGCCACCCGAUACUGCUGUGACUUGAGUUCGGUAGGGGAGCGGGGGAAGUUCCUGGUGGUCAGGCGGUGAAAUGACGCAGAUAUCAGGAGGAACACCAGUGGCGAAGGCGCCGCUCUGGGCCGAGACUGACGCUGAGGAGCGAAAGCGUGGGUAGCAAACAGG
rnacentral:rRNA from 1 species